rnacentral:rRNA from 1 species
UACGUAGGGUGCGAGCGUUGUCCGGAAUUAUUGGGCGUAAAGAGCUCGUAGGCGGUCUGUUGCGUCCGCUGUGAAAACCCGAGGCUCAACCUCGGGCCUGCAGUGGGUACGGGCAGACUAGAGUGCGGUAGGGGAGAUUGGAAUUCCUGGUAUAGCGGUGGAAUGCGCAGAUAUCAGGAGGAACACCAAUGGCGAAGGCAGAUCUCUGGGCCGUAACUGACGCUGAGGAGCGAAAGCAUGGGGAGCGAACAGG